rnacentral:rRNA from 1 species
AUUGAACGCUGGCGGCAGGCUUAACACAUGCAAGUCGAGCGGAGCGUCGGACGGGUGAGGAAUGCCUAGGAAUCUGCCUGGUAUUGGGGGAUAACGUCCUGAAACGGGCGCUAAUACCGCAUACUAUCAGCAGAGCCUAGGUCGGAUUAGCGAGUUGGUGGGGUAAAGGCCUACCAAGGCGACGAUCCGUAACUGGUCUGAGAGGAUGAGCAGUAACACGGGACCUGUGACACGGUCCAGACUCCUACGGAAGGCAGAAGUGGGGAAUAUUGGACAAUGGGCGAAAGCCUGACGCAGACAGGCGGCGUGUUUGAAGAAGGUCUUGGGAUGGUAAAGCACUUUAAGUUGGGAGGCGUUACCAAAAGAAUAAGCACCGGCUAACUUCGUGCCAGCAGCCGCGGUAAUUC